CCUCGUCUCCAGUUUUUCAGGCUCCUCCCCUUCCGCAACGGCAGUCAGCAUAGAGCAGUUCGACCUGCUGGUUCAGCAGGUCAGGGGCCUCACCGAAGCAGUGCAGGCCAUGUAGCAGCAGCAGCAGCCGUAGGCAUUUGUACGGCUGGAAAGAGCAUCGCCGGAGUUUCAGAAGCCGGCAAUCGGGUGGCCCACUUGGGCCAGUCGCCCUGUAUCCCCCGAAAAGGGGAAGUAGAGGGCGGAGAGCCCUUUGUCUG
rnacentral:lncRNA from 1 species